AGUGAACGCUGGACGGCAGGCCUAAGUACGAUGGCAAGGUCGAACGGCAGCACGGCAGGAGUCUUGCUCUGUGGGUGCGAGUGGCGGACGGGUGAGGAAUACAUGGGAAUCUGCCCAGUCGUGGGGGAUAACGUAGGGAAACUUACGCUAAUACCGCAUGCGCCCUUCGGGGGAAAGCCGGGGACCUUCGGGCCUGGCGCGAUUGGAUGAGCCCAUGUCGGAUUAGCUAGUUGGCGGGGUAAUGGCCCACCAAGGCGACGAUCCGUAGCUGGUCUGAGAGGAUGAUCAGCCACACUGGAACUGAGACACGGUCCAGACUCCUACGGGAGGCAGCAGUAGGGAAUAUUGGACAAUGGGCGCAAGCCUGAUCCAGCCAUGCCGCGUGAGUGAAGAAGGCCCUCGGGUUGUAAAGCUCUUUUGUCCGGAAAGAAAAGCGCCGGGUUAAUACCCUGGUGUCCUGACGGUACCGGAAGAAUAAGCACCGGCUAACUUCGUG
rnacentral:rRNA from 1 species